UUUGAAUUCAGCCUUGUGGUCUUACUAUCUAGGAGUUGUGUAGAGGGAAACCUAGACACAAUAUAUUUGGAUCCCUCUUAUACUGGCAAUAAGUGAAAAUGAGAUGUAGUAGGAAGGUGAACUAUUCCGUUCAUCCAGGAGUAGGGUCUGAGUAUUCCCAAGUAACACAUCAUGAAGAAAUAGUAUCUAUAUUUUCCAGCACACAGUCAAGGUGGGGAAAGCCAUUUUGGACUACAGAGUUCUCUUUGCUACACCUAAAUCAAGGCACAAGAUAGAGGAGAACAAGAAUAAAUUUCUGGAAAUGGAUUUAUCAAAGGAACUGUCCUUAUACUGUUAAAGAAUAAAUGACUAGACAAAAG